rnacentral:lncRNA from 1 species
CAACAAUCGCAUUCAUUAGAAACCUUAUUUUUAUUUUUUUUUAAUUUUUUAAUCAGUACUCGAUAUAACAUCGUGUUUCUAGUUCACUGAAGCAUGAGAUAUUGGAGUAACGAACAAUCGGUUUCAAUUUUAUAAUAUCUACAAGUUCGGCUUAUCAAAAUGCAACAUCUUUAAAAAGUAGUUUUUGUGUUAUUCACCUUAAGUCGAAAACUGGAUUUUAUCCAACCGGCAGAUAAAAAAAAACAAGAAAAAAAAGAAAAAAUUUCGAUAUCUUUAUUGUGUUAGGAGAAUUUUUCCUUCUCGGUUACACGUUAGUUAUUUAAUUGGAGGAAAGGGAGUUUAUAUUUUAACCGGAUAUCGUAAAAAACGGAGGGUGAAACCAGCGUUAAAAAUGCCAUUUCCGCUCGGUUAAAAAUCGGAAAAAUCAUCCAAUCAAGAAAUUCCUUUCCCCCCCUUACUAAAUUACUAUCCAGAUGUGUAUGUAGUGUGUUCUUCUUCGCCCUACUCAAUGGGACAUCGACCCAAGGAUCAUCUUCAGUUCAAGGUUUCUAGCCACAUGUCAAAACGAAGUAGAUGUCAUGACAAAAUGGUAACCUGCACCGCCUCGGGGUGUGGUGUAUUGGCAAUUCUAUCGUAUUAUAAGUCGUUAUCCGGAUACAAAUUAUCCAAAACGCUUUUUAACAUUUACGCUUGAACUACAUCUUGCUUCUGUUGGGGACCUCUCUGCCACCACUUCCACGUUAUUAUAUAAUAUUUGCCACUUAAUAAUAAUUUUCUACCCCCUCUUUCGUAACUUUAGAUAAAUUAAUUUUAUGCUCUAUAAAAAUCGUUUUUUCGUUACGUUAUGCUAAUAAAUAAACGGAUAAUUAAAAGGAUAAUAUAGUGUUUCGAAACGAAUUUUCUUUUUUUUUUUUUUUUUUUUAUCGCUGGCAAACUGCUUUCCACGUAUAUUUUCCUCAAGAAAACUGUUCGUUUAUGCCGGGAUAAAGAUUUAUCCGUAUUAACGCAAACUUGGCAAAGAAUGUUAAGGCACGGUUGGCCAACUUUUUACUCGGAAGCAUCACAAAAGAAUUACGAUAAAAUCAAAGUGCAUCACGCGAUAGACAAAAUAAGAAAAUCAUUUAAGGCUCCCCCACAAUUAACGAUUGCAGAAUGGCGUAUUAGCUGUUAUAAUGCCCUUAAAUGCAAAGUUUAGACCAGAAAACCAACUUUUGUAUACAUAAAGAAAAAUUGGUGUUCAAGAAAUGGUUUGGGUCACGUUUUGAGCGCCUUAAUAAUGCAGAGAUAGGUUAUGAAAAUAUUCUGAUACCUCUAGCACGUUACCUUUUUGAAAACACAUUUUGUGGGGAAACAAACGCGAUGCCCUCCGACAAAAUCUAUUUCCUCGUUUAAAAAAAGUAUGAUAACAUACGAUUAAACGAAAUG